rnacentral:ncRNA from 1 species
AACGUCUGUCGCGGAUCUCUCCCAUCCCCUGGAGCAGAUCUGGGAACGGGACCCCUCCCCAGGUUUCCGUUCCCCUGGCCC